rnacentral:lncRNA from 1 species
CUUAAGGGUCACCCCCCACAGCUUUGGGGCCCACAGAAGAUCAAGGUCACCCUCUCUGUUCAGAUGUCGAGGAUGCCAAGGGCCCUUCUGCACAAGCGCUCCCACACUGGGGUUCCACUGACUUUCAAACCCUGUGGCAAAGGCCUGACGUUUUCUGUGCUCAGUUCUGGUCCUACUACCAGUUGGAGGACAGGCAGAGCUGGCUCUUUAGAGAAGGAAGAACCUGCACAAACAAGUACCCAAGCCAACCAGAGACCAGACAACCAAGUGUCACUUUUAAAUCCCAACCGUUAUGGCACACCCUCAUACUCUGGGGUUCUACUCUCUCAGUAAGUUUCAGAAAAGGAGGGAAAGGGAAGAGGGUGGAAAGGCCUCCUCCACUGAAGACAACAUGCCUUGGGUAAGAGAAACGCAGAUGAUAAUAAAGGAGAUGGCUGAACUCAAACAGACCCUGGGCUCCAACCCCUUGAAUGGCACCUGGGAGAGAAAAAAGAUUAAGGCACAGCUUUGUACCUGCCAGAUUGUCUGAACCUCUCCUGGGAUGAAAUGCAUUGUGUAAAUCAAAUGCACAGAAAAUAUUCACAAGAAUUGUUUCAGAAUAUGAAUUUAAGAAAAGGUCUGAAACUAGAAAAUAUAAAAGAAAAGAAAGUUAUAAGUAUGUAAAUAUAUUUUAACAUGGAAAACUAGAUGAUAAAAGAAAUGGCUUUGGAUGAGAAAGUAUUUUGUGUGGUAAAGUAAUAUUCUUGUGCUAAAGUCCAAGAUAAAAGAGGGGGUGAAGAGAAGGAUGUAAACAAGUUGUAGAAUGUCUAAGUCACAGAAGGUUUAGG